UACAGAGACUGCAAGCGUUAUUCGGAUUCACUGGGCGUAAAGGGUGCGCAGGCGGCCGGGUGUGUCAGAUGUGAAAUCCCGGAGCUCAACUCCGGGUCUGCAGUCGAUACGGGCAAACUGGAGUACUGCAGGGGAGACUGGAAUUCCUGGUGUAGCGGUGAAAUGCGCAGAUAUCAGGAGGAACACCAAUUGCGAAGGCAGCUCGCUGGAACGUAACUGACGCUGAGACGCGAAAGCGUGGGGAGCAAACAGG
rnacentral:rRNA from 1 species